rnacentral:rRNA from 1 species
AUUGAACGCUGGCGGCAGGCCUAACACAUGCAAGUCGAGCGGAUGAAGGGAGCUUGCUCCUGGAUUCAGCGGCGGACGGGUGAGUAAUGCCUAGGAAUCUGCCUGGUAGUGGGGGAUAACGUCCGGAAACGGGCGCUAAUACCGCAUACGUCCUGAGGGAGAAAGUGGGGGAUCUUCGGACCUCACGCUAUCAGAUGAGCCUAGGUCGGAUUAGCUAGUUGGUGGGGUAAAGGCCUACCAAGGCGACGAUCCGUAACUGGUCUGAGAGGAUGAUCAGUCACACUGGAACUGAGACACGGUCCAGACUCCUACGGGAGGCAGCAGUGGGGAAUAUUGGACAAUGGGCGAAAGUCUGAUCCAGCCAUGCCGCGUGUGUGAAGAAGGUCUUCGGAUUGUAAAGCACUUUAAGUUGGGAGGAAGGUCAGUAAGUUAAUACCUUGCUGUUUUGACGUUACCAACAGAAUAAGCACCGGCUAACUUCGUG